GUUCACUGUUGUACAGGCAGCUUAGAAG
rnacentral:other from 13 species